UUUAACUACCCUGACAUCAACUGGGAAACAAACUCUGCACCAAGUGGAAGAUCCAACAGGUUCCUAACAAACCUGGCCGCCCUGGCCACCCCGGAGCUAGAGGCAAAGCUGCCCUGCCGCUGUGUCCGACAUAGAGGCAUCCCGCCUCUAGAAUAUGGCCAUUGUUUACUUGGUUGCUGGAGGAACUAGAUUGUCAGUUUCCCUGAAAAGCCACUAGCCAGUGCCCAGCUGCCAUUCUCCCUUCGUGCAGUGGACGGACGUGCAACUAGUUGGUCAUGGCUCUCAGAAGGCUCUUCAGAGUAAGUGUGGCCAUCUCAGCUGUCAAGAAACUGGCAGCAGGGGAGAAAGUCAUGCUUCUCAACUCUUCUGACUGAUUGACAGCUAUUUCUCUUCUCUUCACAGAACAUCCGGAAAAGGUGUUCGCACCUUUUCUGUUGUCUGAAGAGCAACGUUGAAGACCUUCCUGUGCCUCCUGACAGGACGGCACAGGAACUGAAAGACCAGCGGGGAGAAUGGGAGACACAUCAUGUGUCUGAUGGCGGCACAUCUUCCUCUCCUGGGGUUGUGAUGGGUGGUCCUGCCACCACCCAGAGUCCCAGGAAGGAAGAUGUCAGGCCAGCUCUCAUUUCACUGAGAAAUGAGAGCUGUUUGAAGUGGACGCCGCAGCUACCUACAAUUUGGGAGACCUGCACUGAGUUGGACCCAUCGGAAGAAUUCCAUCCGAUGGGGACGGCUCUGAGCCCAGGGGAUGUGCAGGAGGGAAGCGGUGACUGCCUUUCAGGAUAGGUAUCAUUUCGGAGG